rnacentral:piRNA from 1 species
CAUUAUGCUCCUAGAAUUAUCAC